CAAGCUCGCUCUGAGCUCCCGGCUCCUGCUAAGCUUGCGCGGCCGCCACCUCCCUCAGCCACCAUCAUGAUUAUCUACCGGGACCUCAUCAGCCACGAUGAGAUGUUCUCCGACAUUUACAAGAUCCGGGAGAUCGCGGACGGGCUGUGCCUGGAGGUGGAGGGCAAGACGGUCAGUAGAACAGAGUGUGUCAUUGACGACGCGCUCAUUGGUGGCAAUGCCUCCGCUGAAGGCCCAGAGGGCGAAGGCACCGAAAGCACAGUAGUCACUGGUGUAGAUAUUGUAAUGAACCAUCACUUGCAGGAAACCAGCUUCACAAAAGAGGCCUACAAAAAAUACAUCAAAGAUUAUAUGAAAUCAAUCAAAGGCAAACUUGAAGAACAAAUACCAGAAAGAGUAAAACGGUUUAUGACAGGGGCUGCAAAGCAAAUCAAGCACAUCCUUGCUAAUUUCAAAAAUUAUCAGUUCUUUAUUGGUGCAAACAUGAAUCCAGAUGGCAUGGUUGCUCUCCUGGACUACCGUGAGGAUGGUGUGACCCCAUUGAUGAUUUUCUUUAAGAAUGGUUUAGAUUGA